rnacentral:rRNA from 1 species
UACGUAGGAUGCAAGCGUUGUCCGGAUUUAUUGGGUUUAAAGGGUGCGUAGGCGGCCUAUUAAGUUAGUGGUAAAAACGUACAGCUCAACCGGAUACCCGCCAUUGAUACUGAUAGACUUGAGUGCGACAGAGGGUGUUGGAAUGUGUGGUGUAGCGGUGAAAUGCUUAGAUAUCACGCAGAACACCAAUUGCGAAGGCAGAUGACUAUGUCGUAACUGACGCUGAGGCACGAAAGCGUGGGGAGCAAACAGG